rnacentral:lncRNA from 1 species
UGCAGUGACUUGGUUGACAGGUUUAGGCACAUGUUUUCAAAGGAAGCAUGGACCGAAGUUUAGACUAAGAUGCACUAAGACCUGCACUGGUUCUGAUAGACGUUUAGUCAGAAUGGAAGAAUAGCCUCACCUUCAAGCGUAUGAUAUGCACCCAAAAACCCAAAACUUUACAAGAUUUCCCAUUACAUCGAAUCUUGCGGCACAUGCAUGGAGUAUUAAAUAUAGAGAAAAAUAAAAACUAAUUACACAGUUUGUCUGUAAAUCGCGAGACGAAUCUUUUAAGCCUAGUUACUCCAU